GGACCACGGAAGGGAAGGUUGUUUUGAAAUGUAUUGUUUGCUGCAGCACUGGACCACGGAAGGGAAGCUUGUUUUGAAAUGUAUUGUUUGCUGCAGCACUGGACCACGGAAGGGAAGGUUGUUUUGAAAUGUAUUGUUUGCUGCAGCACUGGACCACGGAAGGGGAAGCUUGUUUUGAAAUGUAUUGUUUGCUGCAGCACUGGACCACGGAAGGGAAGCUUGUUUUGAAAUGUAUUGUUUGCUGCAGCACUGGACCACGGAAGGGAAGCUUGUUUUGAAAUGUAUUGUUUGCUGCAGCACUGGACCACGGAAGGGGAAGCUUGUUUUGAAAUGUAUUGUUUGCUGCAGCACUGGACCACGGAAGGGGAAGCUUGUUUUGAAAUGUAUUGUUUGCUGCAGCACUGGACCACGGAAGGGGAAGCUUGUUUUGAAAUGUAUUGUUUGCUGCAGCACUGGACCACGGAAGGGAAGCUUGUUUUGAAAUGUAUUGUUUGCUGCAGCACUGGACCACGGAAGGGGAAGCUUGUUUUGAAAUGUAUUGUUUGCUGCAGCACUGGACCACGGAAGGGAAGGUUGUUUUGAAAUGUAUUGUUUGCUGCAGCACUGGACCACGGAAGGGGAAGCUUGUUUUGAAAUGUAUUGUUUGCUGCAGCACUGGACCACGGAAGGGGAAGCUUGUUUUGAAAUGUAUUGUUUGCUGCAGCACUGGACCACGGAAGGGAAGGUUGUUUUGAAAUGUAUUGUUUGCUGCAGCACUGGACCACGGAAGGGAAGGUUGUUUUGAAAUGUAUUGUUUGCUGCAGCACUGGACCACGGAAGGGAAGGUUGUUUUGAAAUGUAUUGUUUGCUGCAGCACUGGACCACGGAAGGGAAGCUUGUUUUGAAAUGUAUUGUUUGCUGCAGCACUGGACCACGGAAGGGGAAGCUUGUUUUGAAAUGUAUUGUUUGCUGCAGCACUGGACCACGGAAGGGAAGCUUGUUUUGAAAUGUAUUGUUUGCUGCAGCACUGGACCACGGAAGGGGAAGCUUGUUUUGAAAUGUAUUGUUUGCUGCAGCACUGGACCACGGAAGGGAAGGUUGUUUUGAAAUGUAUUGUUUGCUGCAGCACUGGACCACGGAAGGGGAAGCUUGUUUUGAAAUGUAUUGUUUGCUGCAGCACUGGACCACGGAAGGGAAGCUUGUUUUGAAAUGUAUUGUUUGCUGCAGCACUGGACCACGGAAGGGGAAGCUUGUUUUGAAAUGUAUUGUUUGCUGCAGCACUGGACCACGGAAGGGGAAGCUUGUUUUGAAAUGUAUUGUUUGCUGCAGCACUGGACCACGGAAGGGGAAGCUUGUUUUGAAAUGUAUUGUUUGCUGCAGCACUGGACCACGGAAGGGGAAGCUUGUUCAGCGCUGGGAAUGUGUCUUCAAUGAAUCAAUUUGUUUACGCUUAAGUUUGGUGCCAUUCUCUCUCUCUCUCUCUCUCUCUCUCUCUCUCUCUCUCUCUCUCUCUCUCUCUCUCUCUCUCUCUCUCUCUCAAGCUUGACUCUGAAUAAGAAAAAAAGUAAACAAAUUGAAUUAAAUAAAAAAAAAUCCCUCUUGUGUUGCUUGUGCUUCCCAACAAACAAACAAACAAACAAACACAAAAAUACAUAAAUAAAAUAAAUAAAAAUAAAUCCAUAAAGGUGUUCAUCUGAUUUUUCUUCUUUCAAUAUAAUUUUUUCUCCUUUUUUAUUUGCUAUUUUUUUUCUUUUCAUGAAUUUAUUGCUAUCUCAAUUGUUUACACAGGCAGAAGAAGAAGAAGAAGAAGAAAACACACAGAGAGAGAAGAGGAGGAAGAAGAAGAGGAAGGACUUGUAAUAUGGCAGACAUCAAACCAAUGGAUGUGUGAAGAAGAAAAAGAAGAGGAAGAAGAAGAAGAAGAAGAAGACUCUGCUCACAAGUAAGAAAUUCUGUGUCCCCGCUGUACCUCAUUGGAGAAGAAUCGAGCGGUUGAGUGGACUCCAUCUCUCGAGGGGCGGCUUCGUAUCCCAGCGUGAUCUCCUGCAAGGCAUCCCAGCACACACCACAUGCUCUGGAGGGGGAGAGAACGUCAAGAUGAAUCGGCCUUGUCUUGGAGGAAAUGUACUCUGUUUUGAUUUUGCUCUCAAUAAACAUAGACCCUAA